CGGGCCGAGGCCGCAAUGGCGGAGAGCCCGGCGGCCGAGGACGCGGCCCCGGCCCCGGCCGCGGUGCUGGCGGCGGGCGGCGGCGGCAGCGCCUCCCCCAGCGCCGCCGGCGCCGCGGGGACCCCCGGCGUCUUCAUCCCCGCCGAGCUCUGGGCGGCGGCGGGCUUCGGCGCGGCCGCGGCGCCCGGCACCGGCGUGGCCCCCGGCAGCGGCGGCGCCCCGAUGGCGGCGGCGGCGGCGGCGGGGGCCGCGCUCCUCACGCACUCCGCCUUCUGGGACCCCACGGUCAGCGGCGACUGGGACAGCGAGCGGCCCAGCCCGGCCUGCCUGCUGCGGAUCAAACGGGAUAUCAUGUCCAUUUACAAGGAGCCGCCGCCGGGAAUGUUCGUGGUGCCCGACCCCCACGACAUGACCAAGAUCCACGCGCUGAUCACGGGCCCGUUCGACACCCCCUACGAGGGCGGCUUCUUCCUGUUCCUGUUCCGCUGCCCCCCGGACUACCCCAUCCACCCGCCCCGCGUCAAGCUCAUGACCACGGGCAACAACACCGUGCGCUUCAACCCCAACUUCUACCGCAACGGCAAGGUCUGCCUCAGCAUCCUGGGCACGUGGACAGGCCCGGCCUGGAGCCCGGCCCAGAGCAUCUCCUCGGUGCUGAUCUCCAUCCAGUCCCUGAUGACCGAGAACCCGUACCACAACGAGCCCGGCUUUGAGCAGGAGCGGCACCCCGGGGACAGCAAGAACUACAACGAGUGCAUCCGGCACGAGACCAUCCGCGUGGCCGUGUGCGACAUGCUGGAGGGAAAGUGCCCCUGCCCCGAGCCCCUCCGGGGCGUCAUGGAGAAAUCCUUCAUGGAGUACCUGGACUUCUACGAGGGCGUGUGCAAGGAGCGGCUGCACCUGCAGGGCCAGAGCAUGCAGGACCCUUUCGGGGAGAAGCGCGGCCACUUUGACUACCAGGCGCUGCUGGGGCGGCUGCAGGCGCUGCGGGCGCGGCUGCAGGAGCGGCACCAGCAGGACAGCGCCGAGAUGGACUCGGAGAGCAGCUCCUCGGAGCCCGAGCCCGAGCCCCAGGGCUGCCCCAAGGCCUAGGAGGGCCCGGCCCGGCCCGGGACUGCAGCACAGCCAGGCCGGGGCGGGGAGAGCCGCGGGCUCCUUCCCUCCCUCCCUCCCUCCCACCGACCGACCGCCAGGAGAGUUCCCCGAGGAUUCCCCGAGGAGAAUUCCCCAAAAAAGAGACAAAGCCCAGCUCGGGACAGGCUCCUCUUGGACAAAGGCAGACCAAAGAUAAAGGAAUUCUCACUGCUGGAAUUGGGGCUCCUUCCCCAAAGCUUUACUCGAGCCCUGGGGCACUUUGGAGACUUCAUGUGGCAAGUGGGAACUGCAGGAAUCCAUGGAUUUAUUCACCCUGGAGGUUUGGGGAAGGGGAGGAUGAGGAGAAAUGCGUCGGUCAGAGAGGAGGGGAGCGCUCCAAGAUCCGUUUGCGUUUAUUCCCGUCGGCCUCCGUUUGAAUUUAGCCUUUUUCAGGAGGGGUUUUCUCCUGGUGGAGCUGGUUUUUUACCUCACCUGGAAUUCUCUGCUUCUCACCUUGGCUCAGUGUCACCUUGAGUGUCCCCUCCUGUCCCCUCCCUCCCUGCUGCCACCCACCCCCACGGAGACGCCGGAAGGAGGAGGGACAAUCCCCGCCGGACUCUGGGACAAACUCCUUUGCCAAAACCUUGUAAAAUUCCGCUUUUUUUUUUUUGGGGGGGGAGCCCUGGCACCGCUGAGAGCCGGCUCCGUGCUGGCAGUGCCACGGAGAGGCGGCGGUGGCAGUGCCACCCCGCCCGGCCGCGGCUGGAGGUGACAACGCAGCGGAGUUUGGGCCAGCAGGAGCUCUCAACGCUUCGUUGGUUUGUUUUUUUUUUUUCCCCCCCCCCGCCCCGAUGAUUUGUACGGACACGAAGAAGUCGCAACGUUUCGCCCUCCCCCGGUUCCCUCCCCACCAGUUCGGCCCCAGUUCGGAUCCUGCUGGUGCUGGGAGAACUUCCCAGCCCGGGCUGCUCAUCCCGAGGGGCAGGAGGAGCCCAAAUGGGAUCGCAGCGGCAGCAAGGAGGGGGAAACGGGGGAAUUUCCGCGGUGGGAAAUGGGGAAUUUUCCCGAAAAAACUCGGGAAUCGUUUUCCUUUUCCCAAAUCCCCCGGGGCUGGUUUGGGUUUAACCCUUGAGGGGAGGCCGAGCUGCCACACCCGCAGGGUGAGGGGGGUGGGUGCCACCUCCUCGCUGUCACCUUUUGUCACCCCAGAGCAGCCUCGGGGCGGGGCUGGGGAGCUUUUCCAGCUUUUCCAGGGAUGGGAAUUGCCUUGUCCCGGGGCUGUCCCCGUGUCCCCCUCGGGGUGUCCCCAGUGACAAUGACGUUUUAGCAAAGGGAUUUUUAGAGACUGAAAUGGAGCUGGAAACAAUAAAUGCACACGAGUCACUCGGA